CAUAAUUUUGUCCGUAUAGUGUAUCUUUUACCCGAGGCCUAAUUAGUCAAAUGUCACCCCAAUACCUUGCUAUACCAUUGCUUGCUUCCGACAUGAAUGGACCAUUGGUUAAUCAGGUGAUUCCGUGAUCCAAUCAGCAACGAUUUACCAAAUUUGCCCUCUUCAUGCAGCCAAUAGGAGUCGAGGAAUCUGUCACCGCCCCUCGUUCAUGCCUAUGGCCGCUUCCUAUAGCGUGUACAGACUUUAAUCGGCUCAGUAUCGCGUUGUUUUGAAGGACUCCAUGUCAAAAUGUCUGCCGGUGUUAUGCUAAAGAGUUUACAUAAGGUUAGUAGAUAUUCGUUGGUGGUGUCGAGGGCGCCGUUAGUAGCUUCCUACCACACAGAGAGAGGAGUUUUUGGAUACAGACCGCGGAGAGGAAACUCGGAGGAACCGGACGCAGAGCUGCACGCGCUGCUGAACACACACUCCUGUCUCAAUCAAGACCAUGGCCUGGCUCGGUUGGUGGAGGCCUAUCGCACACAUGGGCACAAAGCUGCUAAAAUUAACCCUUUAAUGCCCAAUGCACCUCUUCUGGACAAAGUACCAGAGAUCAGCAUCCUCAAUGGCAGCCUCCCAGGAACCCUUAGGACAUCUGGUUUGAGGCACUUUGGGAAAGUGGAGGCCAGGAUGGAGGAGGUGGUUGCGUACUUGGAGGACACCUAUUGCGGGAGGGUCUCUGUGGAGACCAGUCAGCUACAGAGUCUGGAGGAGAGCGUGUGGCUCACGGAUCGCUUUGAGGAGCUCAAGAAGGAGAGCUUCACUGCUGAAGAGAGGAGGCAGCUGGCGAAACUCAUGCUGGAAUCACAGGAAUUUGACCACUUUCUAGGCACCAAGUUUGCCACAGUGAAGCGGUACGGAGGAGAGGGAGCAGAGAGCAUGAUGGGAUUUUUCUUUGAGCUUUUUCGUUCAGCAGCAAAGGGUGGCGUAAGAGAUGUUGUAAUGGGAAUGCCUCACCGUGGACGCCUUAACUUGCUUACUGGACUUCUGCGUUUCCCACCUGAGUUGAUGUUUCGUAAAAUGAGAGGUCUCAGCGAAUUUCCGGAGAACUCUCCCGCCAUUGGAGAUGUCCUCUCUCACCUCACCUCUUCUGUGGACCUGGAAAUGGGCACUGACCACCCCCUCCACGUGACCAUGCUACCCAACCCAUCCCAUUUGGAGGCCAUUAACCCGGUUGCUCAGGGGAAAACGCGUGGCCGACAACAAGUCAAACAGGAUGGGGAUUAUUCUAACGACAGCCAAGCUAGGCCUGGAGACAAAGUCAUCUGUUUGCAGGUUCACGGUGAUGCCUCAUUCUCAGGGCAAGGAAUUGUGCCAGAAACAUUCACCCUGUCAAAUCUCCCUCACUUCAGAGUUGGUGGAAGCAUCCAUCUUAUUGUGAACAAUCAAGUGGGCUAUACCACUCCCUCUGAGAGAGCCCGCUCGUCCUUGUACUGCAGUGAUAUUGGUAAAAUGGUGGGUUGUGCUGUGAUCCAUGUAAACGGCGAUGAUGCUGAAGACGUUCUCAGAGCCACACGGUUAUCUGUGGAGUAUCAAAGACGCUUCAGGAAAGACGUUAUAGUGGACCUGCUGUGUUACCGGCAGUGGGGUCACAACGAGCUGGACGAGCCAUUUUUCACAAACCCUGCCAUGUACAAAAUCAUCCGCUCAAGGAAGAGCGUCCCUGAUUCCUACGCUGACCAGCUGAUCUCCGAGGGAUUGAUGACUGAGGAAGAACGCAGUCAGAUUAAAACAGCCUACCACUCCUUGCUCAGUGAUCGUCUGGCCAACAUGACCUUCUAUAGCCCCCCACCCACCAACCUGCAGGGCCGCUGGGGAGAUCUGAUGGAGCCACAGAACAGAGUUUCAGCCUGGGACACUGGCGUGGCUGUUCCGUUGCUUCAGUAUGUCGGAGCAAAGUCAGUGGAGAUCCCUGAGGAGGUCCAGGUGCACAGUCACCUUGUGAAGACGCAUGUAAAGUCGAGACUGCAGAAACUUGAAGCGGGAACUGCACUGGACUGGUCCACUGCUGAGGCGCUGGCGUUCGGCACACUUCUCUGUCAGGGUUUCGACGUGCGGAUAAGCGGCCAGGAUGUUGGCCGUGGUACAUUUAGUCAGCGUCAUGCCAUGGUUGUGUGCCAGGAGUCCAAUGACAUGUAUAUCCCUCUCAAUCACAUUGACCCUCAACAAAAAGGCUAUCUGGAGGUGUGUAACAGUGCACUGUCUGAAGAGGCGGUGUUAGGUUUUGAGUACGGGAUGAGUAUUGAACAGCCAAAACUGCUGCCAAUAUGGGAAGCUCAGUUCGGGGAUUUCUUCAAUGGAGCGCAAAUCAUCUUUGACACCUUUAUCUCUGGAGGUGAGGCAAAGUGGUUGCUGCAGAGCGGCAUGGUCAUCCUGCUUCCACACGGCUACGACGGAGCCGGACCCGAGCACUCGUCCUGCCGCAUCGAGCGUUUCUUACAACUCUGUGACAGUAAGGAGGAAGGCAUCGACGGUGACGUAGUCAAUAUGGCCAUGGUGAAUCCGACAACUCCGGCUCAGUACUUCCACCUGCUGAGGAGACAAAUGAUCCGAAACUUCCGCAAACCACUCAUUGUGGCCUCACCCAAAACUCUGUUGCGUUUUUCUGGGGCAGUGUCGAGCUUGGAGGAAAUGGGACCUGGAACUUCUUUCAAGCCUGUAAUAGGCGACACCUCUGUAAAUCCUGAGAGUGUGCAGAGAGUGCUGCUUUGCUCAGGCAAGCACUAUUAUGCACUGCUAAAACAAAGAGAGACCCUGCCUGAGGCAUGUAAGAACACGGCACUGAUCAGAGUAGAGGAGCUUUGCCCUUUCCCCACAGACGCCUUACAGCAGGAGCUCCACAGAUACAGCAAUGCCAAAGGUGAGGUCUUGCUAUGAUAUCAAUAGAACAAUGAGAGGAUUUACAUAUUGUAUUCCAUUAUGCUGUUAUAUAAAAAAAAAAAGGCUUUUCCUUAAGUUUCCCUCAAACACAGGUCUUUGUGUUUGCUUUUUUGUAAGUAAUAUGUUAAUUUCUAUGAUAAACAACAGUAUCCAUGACACAUAUGAUGGCGACGUACCAAUGUGUUACUGCAUGAUGGAGUGUUUGAGCCAGUGUUUGAUAUAUUUUACGACAUGAUGGUGUGUGUUACUGGCUGAUAUAACACAGAUCGUACAUGAACACAAAUUGUCUUGACCUGUGACGUUUCACCUUAAUUGCAUUACUUGCUGUUAUAAUAACCUCCACUCUUCUGGGAAGGCUAGAUUUUGGAGCGUGGCUGUGGGGAUCUGUGUUCGUUCAACUACAGGAGUAUUAAUGAGGUCAGGCUGAUGUCAGGUGAGGAGGUCUGGGGUGCAGUCAAUGUUCCAGUUCAUCCCAAAAAGUGGUCAGUGGGGUUGAUGUCAGAGCUCUGUGUAGGGCACUCAAGUUCUUCCAGUCCAUCCUUGGCAAACCAUGUCUUCAUGGAGCUCGCUUUGUGCACAGGGGCGUCGUCAUGCUGGAACAGGUUUGUUCCAGCGAAGGGAAACUGUAAUGCUACAGCAUACAGAGACAUUCUAGACACUUGUCUCCUUCCAAGUUUGUGGCAACAGUUUGGAGAAGGAACGCACAUAUGGGUUUGAUGCUCAGGUGUCCACAAACUUUUGGCCAUAUAGUGUACCAGCUGAAAAAGUGUGAUUGGCAUUAUCUGUAAUACAUAGUAUAUGGAUUUGUGCUUGUGCAGUAACUCGAUCAUUUCUAAUCCACUUUUAAAGCUUAUCACAAUUUUCUACUUAGAGUUUAUCUGGAGCCAAGAAGAGCCACAGAACAUGGGAUGCUGGUUUUUUGUGUCUCCUCGUUUUGAAAAACAGCUUGCCUGUAAGCUGCGAUUGGUCAGUAGGCCUCCUCUGGCUGCCCCUGCUGUGGGCAUCAGUACUCUUCAC